rnacentral:rRNA from 1 species
GACGAACGCUGGCGGCGUGCCUAAUACAUGCAAGUCGAACGCUUCUUUCCUCCCGAGUGCUUGCACUCAAUUGGAAAGAGGAGUGGCGGACGGGUGAGUAACACGUGGGUAACCUACCCAUCAUAGGGGGAUAACACUUGGAAACAGGUGCUAAUACCGCAUAACAGUUUAUGCCGCAUGGCAUAAGAGUGAAAGGCGCUUUCGGGUGUCGUUGAUGGAUGGUCCGGGGGUGCGUUAGAUAGUUGGUGGGGUAACGGCUCACCAAGGCGAGGAUGCAUAGCCGACGGGGGAGGGGGAUCGGCCACCCUGGAACUGGAACACGGCCCAGACUCCUACGGGAGGCAGCAGUCGGGAAUCUGCGGCAAUGGACGAAAGUCUGACCGAGCGACGCCGCGUGAGUGAAGAAGGUUUUCGGAUCGUAAAACUCUGUUGUUAGAGAAGAACAAGGACGUUAGUAACUGAACGUCCCCUGACGGUAUCUAACCAGAAAGCCACGGCUAACUACGUG